UACCCUACCUCAAGUGCCCCCUGCACACGGUGGUCAAGCUGACGCCCGUGGCCUACGGCUGCGAGGUGGAGUCCAUCUUCCUCAACGUGGAGGCCGUGAACACGCACCGCGAGCGGCCCCAGAACGUCGACGUCAGCCGCCCCCCUGCCGAAGCCCUGGUCACGGUGCCCGAGCACUACUGAGGCCCCCCCGG